rnacentral:rRNA from 1 species
UACGGAGGGGGCAAGCGUUGUUCGGAUUUACUGGGCGUAAAGGGUGUGUAGGCGGUUGCGCAAGUCUGGUGUGAAAUCUUCACCGCUUAACGGGAAGAGGUCACUGGAAACUGCGUAACUCGAGUAUGGUAGAGGCAAGCGGAAUUCCUGGUGUAGCGGUGGAAUGUGUAGAUAUCAGGAAGAACAUCUGUGGCGAAGGCGGCUUGCUGGGCCAUCACUGACGCUGAGACGCGAAAGCGUGGGGAGCAAACAGG